CAGUAGCCACGGGAAUACGUAGGUGGCAAGCGUUGUCCGGAAUUAUUGGGCGUAAAGCGCGCGCAGGUGGUUUAAUAAGUCUGAUGUGAAAGCCCACGGCUCAACCGUGGAGGGUCAUUGGAAACUGUUAAACUUGAGUGCAGGAGAGAAAAGUGGAAUUCCUAGUGUAGCGGUGAAAUGCGUAGAGAUUAGGAGGAACACCAGUGGCGAAGGCGGCUUUUUGGCCUGUAACUGACACUGAGGCGCGAAAGCGUGGGGAGCGAACGGGAUUAGAUACCCCCGUAGUCCCUGUCUCUUAUAC
rnacentral:rRNA from 1 species